UACGUAGGGUGCAGGCGUUAAUCGGAAUUACUGGGCGUAAAGCGUGCGCAGGCGGUCUUUUUAAGUCAGAUGUGAAAAUCCCCCGGGCUUUAACCUGGGAACUGCGUUUGAAACUGGAAGGCUAGAGUGUGGCAGAGGGGGGGUGGAAUUCCACGUGUAGCAGUGAAAUGCGUAGAGAUGUGGAGGAACACCGAUGGCGAAGGCAGCCCCCUGGGCUAACACUGACGCCUCAUGCACGAAGCGUGGGAGCAACAGG
rnacentral:rRNA from 1 species